rnacentral:rRNA from 1 species
UACAGAGGGUGCGAGCGUUAAUCGGAAUUACUGGGCGUAAAGCGCACGUAGGCGGCUUGGUAUGUCGGGUGUGAAAUCCCCGGGCUCAACCUGGGAACUGCAUCCGAAACUGCCUUGCUCGAGUAUGGGAGAGGGAAGUGGAAUUCCCGGUGUAGCGGUGAAAAUGCGCAGAUAUCGGGAGGAACACCAAUGGCGAAGGCAGCUCGCUGGGACGGUACUGACGCUGAGACGCGAAAGCGGUGGGGAGCGAACAGG